rnacentral:rRNA from 1 species
GAGUUUGAUCAUGGCUCAGAUUGAACGCUGGCGGCAGGCCUAACACAUGCAAGUCGAGCGGCAGCGCGGGGGCAACCCUGGCGGCGAGCGGCGGACGGGUGAGUAACGCGUGGGAAUCUAACCAGUAGAGGGGGAUAGCCCGGGGAAACUCGGAUUAAUACCGCAUACGCCCUAAGGGGGAAAGCAGGGGAUCUUCGGACCUUGCGCUAUUGGAAGAGCCCGCGUCGGAUUAGCUAGUUGGUAGGGUAAAGGCCUACCAAGGCGACGAUCCGUAGCUGGUCUGAGAGGAUGAUCAGCCACACUGGAACUGAGACACGGUCCAGACUCCUACGGGAGGCAGCAGUGGGGAAUAUUGCGCAAUGGGCGAAAGCCUGACGCAGCCAUGCCGCGUGCGUGAAGAAGGCCUUAGGGUUGUAAGGCACUUUCAGUAGGGAGGAAAGGUGUAAGGAUAAUACCCUUGCGCUGUGACGUUACCUACAGAAGAAGCACCGGCUAACUCUGUGCCAGCAGCCGCGGUAAUACAGAGGGUGCAAGCGUUAAUCGGAAUGACUGGGCGUAAAGCGCGCGUAGGUGGUUUGUUAAGUUGGAUGUGAAAGCCCCGGGCUCAACCUGGGAAUGGCAUCCAAAACUGUCAGACUAGAGUAUAGUAGAGGGGGGUAGAAUUUCGGUGUAGCGGUGAAUGCGUAAGAUCGGAAGGAUACAGUGGCGAA